UGCCCCUUCUUCCCACCUGUCAACUGGAUUUCCUUGAAAAACAAAAGAAGGCAACAAGAAAGGAACACAGAGUGCGAAGCGGCAGUUUUUGCCCGCCUGGAAAAUCCGUCUGCGACCGCUGAUCUCGCCGUGCACACGGUCAUUUCCUGAGGCAAAAUGAAGCGGAUCCAGUCUUAUGCCAGAGAUGGAAUGGAAAUCAUAAUGGAAGAGCAUUCAGACCUCUUGGGAGAGGACAACAUUACUAACGUGUCCACUAAAUAUGUGGGAGGAUGUUGAAAAGGGUCCCAACAGGCCCUGACAACCUAAGAUUCCUGGGCAAUAUUGCUAGUGAAUGAUCAAGAAUUCUUUAAAAGCUUAAGCCCCAAAGAACGGAAGAAGGCUGCCUGCAUCCUAAAGAACUCCAGUAGUUCAAGCAUAGCUGGUUGAAAAGUGAUUAAAGAUUUGCUUAACACCA